UACGUAGGGGGCAAGCGUUGUCCGGAUUUAUUGGGCGUAAAGAGCGUGUAGGCGGCCUGACAGGUCUGCUGUGAAAACUCGAGGCUCAACCUCGAGAUGUCGGCGGAAACCGUCUGGCUAGAGUCCGGAAGAGGAGAGUGGAAUUCCUGGUGUAGCGGUGAAAUGCGCAGAUAUCAGGAAGAACACCUAUGGCGAAGGCGGUUGCCUGGGGCUUUGCUGACGCUGAUGCGCGAAAGCGUGGGGAGCGAUCCGG
rnacentral:rRNA from 1 species